rnacentral:rRNA from 1 species
UGGCGGACGGGUGAGUAACGCGUGGGUAACCUGCCUCAUACAGGGGGAUAACAGUUAGGAAUGACUGCUAAUACCGCAUAAGACCACAGCACCGCAUGGUGCAGGGGUAAAAACUCCGGUGGUAUGAGAUGGACCCGCGUCUGAUUAGGUAGUUGGUGGGGUAACGGCCUACCAAGCCGACGAUCAGUAGCCGACCUGAGAGGGUGACCGGCCACAUUGGGACUGAGACACGGCCCAA